AAAGCCUGAUCCAGCUAUGCCGCAUGAGUGAAGAAGGCCUUUGGGUUGUAAAGCUCUUUUAGUGAAGAAGAUAAUGACGGUACUCACAGAAGAAGUCCUGGCUAACUCCGUGCCAGCAGCCGCGGUAAUACGGAGAGGGCUAGCGUUAUUCGGAAUUAUUGGGCGUAAAGGGCGCGUAGGCUGAUUAAUAAGUUAAAAGUGAAAUCCCGAGGCUUAACCUUGGAAUUGCUUUUAAAACUAUUAAUCUAGAGAUUGAAAGAGGAUAGAGGAAUUCCUGAUGUAGAGGUAAAAUUCGUAAAUAUUAGGAGGAACACCAGUGGCGAAGGCGUCUAUCUGGUUCAAAUCUGACGCUGAGGCGCG
rnacentral:rRNA from 1 species